GUAGGGAAUAUUGGGCAAUGGAUGCAAGUCUGACCCAGCCAUCCCGCGUGCCGGAAGAAGGCCCUCAGGGUUGUAAACGGCUUUUGACGGUGAAGAAUCGACAGGAUGCGUCCUGUUUUGACGGUAGCCGUUGAAUAAGCACCGGCUAACUCCGUACCAGCAGCCGCGGUAAUACGGAGGGUGCGAGCGUUGUCCGGAUUUAUUGGGUUUAAAGGGUGCGUAGGCUGGAAGGUCAGUCAGCGGUGAAAAGCUGUCGCUUAACGAUAGUCUUGCCGCAGAUACUUCCUUUCUUGGAUGAGGAGGAGGCCACUGGAACGGAUGGUGUAGCGGUGAAAUGCAUAGAUAUCAUCCAGAACACCGAUUGCGAAGGCAGGUGGCUGUACCUUAAUCGACGCUGAUGCACGAAAGCAUGGGGAGCAAACAGGAUUAGAAACCCGUGUAGUCC
rnacentral:rRNA from 1 species